CUCAACGAUUGCUUGCUUAACCCCACCAAGCCACGAACCUACGCUCGUCCAAUUCCAGUCCCACUCCUUCCCUUCCCCAAACCUAGCCGCCUCAAUCCGCUCCCCUAGGGUGCCUCUCAGCCAUCGGCGAGCAGGCCCUCCCUUGCCGGCGACCAGUGGCGGCCGGUGAUGCAGCCCACGCGAUACAUCCCACUACUCGCCUCCUAUUAUGAGAUACCCUAAAUCUGAGAAAUUCUUUUGCAGCUAAGAUGUAUUUGGGCUACUACGUGAUGCGGAUGUUUGUUGAAAAGCCUCGUCGGCGAGUCAGAGCACGGCGGCGCGGAAGCGGAAGGGCACGAAAUUCUGUGUAUCCUUGAACGUGCGAUGUCACUGGAGGCUGCAGGCGGCACGAUCUGGCGUAUCAAGAAGCCUAAAAUAGAGCUGCAUCAGUAGUAGCAACCUGCAGCAGGACGACCUGCAGAAGAUAAAACCGCAAAUUGGGUGCUGAAGUACUUGUAUCUGUUCCAAGGUUACUCGAGAAGAUAUAUCAAAUCCAUAAUGACGUGUGGUCUGAUGAGCUGAUUUAAAUGCAAUGGAUCGCAAACAUGUCUUAUGCUGAACUAGUUUUGGCAUGCCACCAAGGUUCCAUACAUCAGAAGACUUGCUCUAUCGGAUAUCAGAAUUUGUUGGCAAAUUAGUAGAACCGAUGUAUAUAGGUCUAGGUAGACUAUCAAAUUGUGCUGCAAAAUUGUAAACUUUCUCCUUUUCAGAAAACUUUCAUGUAUGGAUGGUGAUUUCAAUAAUAAAUAUUUAAUUUUUGUCACUAAA